rfam:Stegodyphus mimosarum contig81281, whole genome shotgun sequence.
AUUCGAAAUGUAAUUAUAACGCUCUUGUCUCAAAGAUUAAGCCAUGCAUAUCUAAGUACAUGCAGUAUUAAGGAGAAAUAAUGAGUGGCUCAUUAAAUCAAUUAUGAUUCCUUGGAUCCUACCUUACUACUUAGAUAACUGUGGAAAUUUUAGAACUAAUACAUGCAGCAGAACUCCGACCCACUAGAGACGAACACUUUUGUUAGAUCAACACCAAUCGGACCAAUUGUAACCGUGUUAUGUGGUAACUUUGUAUAACUUUGGGCUGAUCGCACGGCCUCGCCUCGGCGAGGUAUCUUUCAAGCGCCUUUCUUAUCAACUGUCGAUGGUAAGUUACCUGCCUACCAUGGCGUAACGGCUGGCAAAGAAUCAGUGUUCGAUACCGCAGAUGGAAUCUGAGAAGCGGCUCCCAGAACGGGGAAGUAGUGGCAAAAAAUAACAAUACGGGACUCUUUUGAGACCCCGUAACUGGAAUGAGUACACUCUAAAUCCUUUAACGAGGAUCAAUUGCAGGGCAAAUUUGGUGCCAACAACCGCGGUAAUUCUACCUUUAGUAGCGUACAUUAAAGCUGUUGCGGUUAGAAAUCUUAUAGUUGGAUCUCAGUACCAGACGGGCAGUCCGCUUACUGGUUAUUACUGCCUG